rnacentral:lncRNA from 1 species
UCGAGCUUGUAUACAGUCAGUGUGGAUUCUAGUACCCACUAAGGAAUUAAGAUAAUUUCUCGAGUUGAAGGUAGACGCUAUCAAUUCGUAUAAAAUAAUGGAAGAAUCUUAAGACUAAAGUCUAUGUCUUUAGGAUUAAUUAAUUCAUAUAUUGAUUAGAUUUUAGUUUUCCUUUUAUGCAGAUAUGGCCUCAAAUUUCUCACUCCGAUCACU